AUUGAACGCUGGCGGCAGGCCUAACACAUGCAAGUAGAACGAGUGGCGGACGGGUGAGUAAUGUAUGGGAAACUGCCCGAUGGAGGGGGAUAACUACUGGAAACGGUAGCUAAUACCGCAUACCUUCCGUUGGGCCCAGAGGGGAUUAGCUAGUAGGGGGGGUAACGGCUCACCUAGGCGACGAUCCCUAGCUGGUCUGAGAGGCUGACCAGCCACACUGGAACUUAGACACGGUCCAGACUCCUACGGGAGGCAGCAGUGGGGAAUAUUGCACAAUGGGCGCAAGCCUGAUGCAGCCAUGCCGCGUGUAUGAAGAAGGCCUUCGGGUUGUAAAGUACUUUCAUCGAGGAGGCGUUACUCGCAGAAGAAGCCCCGGCUAACUCCGUGCCAGCAGCCGCGGUAAUAC
rnacentral:rRNA from 1 species